rnacentral:lncRNA from 1 species
UGUGCACGGCCAGAGGCGGAGGGCUCGGCUGGCUGCUCCAGUCUGCGCCGUCCAUGCGUCUCGGGUGUCCUAUCCCGGAGGAUACAUUUUUCUUUUUCAGAAAAGGGAAACAGGAAAACGGGGACGAUUAGACUCUAUCUAGGGGAGCCAUGUGGAAAAACCAGCUUCAGGCUGGAGUUUAGCUCACUGCAACCUCUGCCUCCUGGGUUCAAGCAAUUCUCCUCCCUCAGCCUUCUGAGUAGCUGGGACUACAGGCUUUAGAACUGGCGGCUUUAUAAGAAGAGAAAGAGAGAUCUGAGCUAGCACACUCAACCCCCUUGCUCUGUGAUGCCCUGUGCCAUCUCGGGACUCUGCAGAGGGUCCCCACCAGCAAGAAGGCCUUCACCAGAGCGGCCCCUUAACCUUGGACUUCCCAGCCUCCAUAACUGUCUGACUGGAUCCAGAAGUUCCAGUGAAGCCGAUUUCUAUCUCUAGUCUUUGUGAUCCUUUCCUCUCCAGCAAGGCUUUUCCUUGCCAUGACAAGACACCUGGCAGCAUCUCCAGGCUUACUCAACCAGUACCCUUGAUGGGAAAAGGGCUUUUCUUUCUUAAUUUUCCAGCAAAAGCCUCAAGAUUGACUCUGGAGUAAAUUGCACAUGGCCUCAAAUUCUUUGCAGCUCCUUCCACUAUGAGGUGGCAUGUAUUACUCCAAUCCCUGCAUCUGGGCUGGAUUUGUGACUUGUUUUGAACAAUAGAAUGUGGUAAAAGUGACAGUGAAAAUAUAUGAGUUUCAAGCCUAAGACAACAUGCUUUUCAGCCUUUGCUCUGGAUUUCUUUGAAUGCUGCUGUCACAUAAACAAGACUGAAAUAGCCUACUAGAGGAUGGGAAAUUACAUGGAGCAGAGACAAGCAGUCCCAGGUGUGGAACCCCUAGACCAGCCAGCUUACCAACCACCAGACAUGAGAGUGAGACCAUCCUAGAUCACUCAGCUCCAGCCAAGCCACCAAGAGACCACACAGAUCAGCUGAAUUGGCCUAGGCCAGACGAACCACUCUGCCAACCCACAGAAUUACUAAAAAUAAUAAAUAUUUGUUAGUGAAGACUUCAA